rnacentral:rRNA from 1 species
AUACGUAGGGGGCGAGCGUUGUCCGGAAUGAUUGGGCGUAAAGGGCGCGUAGGCGGCCCGGUAAGUCUGGAGUGAAAGUCCUGUUUUUAAGAUGGGAAUUGCUUUGGAUACUGUCGGGCUUGAGUGCAGGAGAGGUAAGUGGAAUUCCCAGUGUAGCGGUGAAAUGCGUAGAGAUUGGGAGGAACACCAGUGGCGAAGGCGACUUACUGGGCCGUAACUGACGCUGAGGCGCGAAAGCGUGGGGAGCGAACAGGAUUAGAUACCCUGGUAGUCCACGCGGUAAACGAUGAAUGCCAGGUGUUGCGGGUAUCGACCCCUGCAGUGCCGGAGUAAACACAAUAAGCAUUCCGCCUGGGGAGUACGGCCGCAAGGUUGAAACUCAAAGGAAUUGACGGGG